GUUCUUGUAGUUGAAUUACAACAGUGGUUUUUCAAGCCAUCGGUCCUGGUUAAACUCCUGGUGAGAAUU
rnacentral:tRNA from 1 species